UUCCUCCUCCCCCGUUAUCCUACCACUGCUUUUUACUCAAAAAAUUGUUUCCAGCAAUUGAAUUGUUUUUUAUCUUGAAGUUCGACUUAGAACGUCACCCAUUUGCCUUAAUUAGUUGAAGUUUUCUUGGACAGAGGUAGGGGAUAUUUUCUCUUCAAAUUCGAUUUCAAAAUUUUGCGAAUAAGAGUUUCAAGGGAUGAUUCAUUGUAUACAGUUACUUGGAUCAUUUUCAUUUCUAAAUUUUGUACUCGUUAUGAUGUAUGUUGUGAGUGUUUCCUUGUUAUGAGCAAGCCUAAUAGGAAACUGGACGACUCUACUUUAGAAAUGUCAGGCCCGCAGGGGCCCUCCAUUUACGAGUGGCAACCCGGAAGACCGUUAGCUGUAACGGUGGCUGGUAACCAGAACUACCCUAACAUCGGUGCUGGCCAAAAUAAUAAGUACGAGAGGAGCUUGCAGCAGUAAGCCGGGUAGGGCUUACAGUAGGCUUUUAGCGCGUCAAAAUUAGUAUUUUGUUGUUCAUAGUAUGUAUAUCACGGGGAUAAAUCUGGGAUAGUCUUAUGCUGCUCAUGACCCAUGCUUUUGAUAUAUUUUGCUGUACAUAAAAGUGUGGGAUCUUGUUUGAUGGAUAGUUUAUUAUCGGUAAUUGACUUAUGCUCUAAAUUUUGCUGUGUAAAUACUUAAGCUAUGGUCUUUGUUAAAGUCUAAAUUUCGGUGCAUCCAGGUUACAAAGACUUCAUUUUGCUGUUUAGUUUUGAUGUAUUGCAGACCUGUUUACAUUUAUAAAUGAUGAGGUCGGAUUUCGGAUAGA